AGCAGCCGCGGUAAUUCCAGCUCCAAUAGCGUAUAUUAAAGCUGUUGCAGUUAAAAAGCUCGUAGUUGAAUUUCAGGCCUGGCUGGACGGUCCGCCCUUCAGGUGAGUAUUGUCUGUGGUCGGGUCCUACCUUCUGGCGAAGCGUCAUGGCCUUAACCGGCUGUGGCGGGGAACCAGGACUUUUACUGUGAAAAAAUUAGAGUGUUCAAAGCAGGCAAUCGCUUGGAUACAUUAGCAUGGAAUAAUGGAAUAGGACAAUGGUUCUAUUUGUUGGUUUCUAGGACCGUUGUAAUGAUUAAUAGGGAUAGUUGGGGGCAUUAGUAUUCAAUUGUCAGAGGUGAAAUUCUUGGAUUUAUUGAAGACUAACUACUGCGAAAGCAUUUGUCCAAGGAUGUUUUCAUUAAUUCAAGAACGAAAGUUAGGGGAGUCGAAGACGAUCAGAUACCGUCGUAGUCUUAACCAUAAACUAUGCCGACUAGGAAUCGGGCGAGUGUUGAAAAAAUGACGACGCUCGGCACCU
rnacentral:rRNA from 1 species